AUGAUGACUCUCGGCAACGGAUAUCUCGGCUCUCGCAUCGAUGAAGAACGUAGCGAAAUGCGAUACCUGGUGUGAAUUGCAGAAUCCCGUGAACCAUCGAGUCCUUGAACGCAAGUUGCGCCCGAGGCCACCCGGUCGAGGGCACGCCUGCCUGGGCGUCACGC
rnacentral:rRNA from 1 species